AAGACUAUGCUUUCAGGAAUCAUUUCUAUAGUUUCUGACUUGAGAAACGUGUUUCUAGAGUUUAUGGUCUCGCUAACCAUGAUGAUGAGUUAUGAUAUUCCCUUCUGAGCAUGAAGCUGAUGGAGCUGUGCUGUACAUGUUCUCUGUCAUCGGUGAUUGCUUAUUGCUCUACUGUAGAGCAGUGAGAAAGGGAAUAUGAUCUGAGUGGUU
ensembl:snoRNA ACEA small nucleolar RNA U3